GUGGGGAAUAUUGGACAAUGGGCGCAAGCCUGAUCCAGCCAUGCCGCGUGAGUGAUGAAGGCCUUAGGGUUGUAAAGCUCUUUCAGUAGGGAAGAUAAUGACGGUACCUACAGAAGAAGCCCCGGCUAACUUCGUGCCAGCAGCCGCGGUAAUACGAAGGGGGCUAGCGUUGUUCGGAUUUACUGGGCGUAAAGCGCACGUAGGCGGAAUGUUAAGUCAGAGGUGAAAUCCUGGAGCUCAACUUCAGAACUGCCUUUGAUACUGGCAAUCUCGAGUCCGGAAGAGGUGAGUGGAACUCCUAGUGUAGAGGUGGAAUUCGUAGAUAUUAGGAAGAACACCAGUGGCGAAGGCGGCUCACUGGUCCGGUACUGACGCUGAGGUGCGAAAGCGUGGGGUGCAAACAGGAUUAGAAACCCCGGUAGUCC
rnacentral:rRNA from 1 species